AAGAAGGGAAAGAACCAAGUCGUCCCCUUCCUCCCAGAAGGCAAGUUAGACCGGACGGAUGUGGCUUUUUCCGCCGCAAACGUACAAACAAUGACGACGAGGUUCUAAGAGAAGUGUUGACUUCCCUCCUAGGUGAGGGAAAGGGGAAAGGGGAAGAGAAAAUUUGGGACUGAAAAUUGAAUGAAAAAAAGAUCUAGCAAAGGAAGCUCAAAAGGCAUAAUCAACUAUAAGAAGAGGACCAAGAGUGAGCAGAGUCACAAAAAUGAAAGUACAUUCAGAAGAGACAAUGGCCAACAUUGUAAAAUUUUGCACCCAGGUCAAAAAAAGAUAAAGACUGAAGAAAGGAGAUUAGAUCUGUCAAUCAAGAAAUCAUUGUUAGCUUCUAGAAACAAAUAAAUAGGGCAUUUUUCCUGGAAUAUCAGUAGUGUAUUGUGAACUAAAGAAAAUUGGGAAUCUGGAAAGACUCCAAACUCUGAAGGUCAGGCAAAGAAGUGGCAAGUCAGCCACAUUUGCCUGGCUGUAGAGAAGCACCUACCUGAGGAGUGGUCCUUCCCCGCCAAAGAUGAAGUAAUGUGGAAGGAGCUGAGAACUCAAAGCCUACCAGCACAUUAAAAUAUUCAUCCAUUGCGCCUGCCAAGGGAGAUCCAAAUGAUUUACUGUAAGGCCAAUUAGAUGGAAGGCAUACCUGGGUAUAAAAGACACUGGCAGCCCUUGCUUUGUGUCUUUGGGAUAAAUGGAGACAUCAUUGACCUAUUCUUUAUUAAUAGAUUGCAUAUUCUUAUUAAUAAACAAUAUUAUAGCUGGAGAAA